rnacentral:rRNA from 1 species
UACAGAGGGGGCAAGCGUUGUUCGGAAUUACUGGGCGUAAAGGGCGCGUAGGCGGCCUUCUAAGUCGAACGUGAAAUCCCCGGGCUCAACCCGGGAACUGCGUCCGAUACUGGAAGGCUUGAAUCCGGGAGAGAGAUGCGGAAUUCCAGGUGUAGCGGUGAAAUGCGUAGAUAUCUGGAGGAACACCGGUGGCGAAGGCGGCAUCCUGGACCGGCAUUGACGCUGAGGCGCGAAAGCCAGGGGAGCAAACGGG